UACAGAGGGUGCAAGCGUUAAUCGGAAUUACUGGGCGUAAAGCGUGCGUAGACGGUUAUGUAAGUCAGAUGUGAAAGCCCCGGGCUUAACCUGGGAAUGGCAUUUGAGACUGCAUAGCUAGGGUGCGGAAGAGGGAAGCGGAAUUUCCGGUGUAGCGGUGAAAUGCGUAGAUAUUCGGAAGAACACCAGUGGCGAAGGCGACACACUGGCCCAUUACUGACGCUGAGGCGGCGAAAGCGUGGGGAGCAAACAGG
rnacentral:rRNA from 1 species